GGAAACUGGAAACGGGGCAGAAGUUGGGAGAAUUCGAGAAAAAGAGGGAGAAAGAGAGAAAAAGGAAGAAAAAAAAAAGAAGGAAAUGGAAGAGGCUGAUGAUUUUUGUAAGUUUGGGUUCUUCAUUUCUUCAGCUUAUCACUUUUUUUAGAGAGGUGAGUUAAUUAAAUUUCUAGGGUUUAUGGAACAUUCAUUUAUAUUCGAAGUUUAGCAAGAAUUAGAGAUUAUUAUUAUGUUUUUGAGGUAUUAAACAAGAAUAUAUCAAAGGAAUGUAUAUUUGAAAAUUUGUGAUGAAGAAAAUGGAAUUUUGAAGGGGUUUGUGAGAUAAGUGUUUACUCUUUGAUUUUCUUGUGAUUAUAUAAUACUGAACACUUAAAUUAGGGAUUUGAGAUUGGAAUUUCCCAUUUUUUAAAGGUAAUUUUCGAGUUACUGUAGUAUAGGUGUUGUUUCUGAUAGUGUGCACAGAAUGGUGCCACUUCUGUCAAUAGUUUUGGUGUCAAAUUUCAAUAUCGAGAAAUUGGUGUCACAUUUCAAUAUUCUGGAAUUUUAGUGCUGUCUUUGUCAAACCUUUGAUUUUCUCAUUUUAAAGGCUUGAAUGAAGUUUUAUGACAAGUAUUGAGGUUUAUGUAUUGGAAUAAAUUAUGCAUAGGGGUUGUAUAUGUAUAAGUUAUUGAUUUUAAGGAAGUGAGUAAUUUAAUGGAUUUAAUAAUGCAUGGUGUUUAGUUGAUAAAUCAUUAAAGAGAAGAAAGUUGGAGAAUUGGAAAUGUAAGAGUAAGUAUAGAAGUUGAGAAGUUAAGUGGUGGAUUUAUAUUAAUUUAAUUGUUAGAUUUUAAGUCGAGAAAUUAUACCGUUAUUUUAGGUGGGAAUGUGGAAGCUUGGAAAUCUUCGUCAAUUUAAGCAAAUUUCUAUCCAUAGAUCUGUGAGUGGAAAAAUAUAAAUAUUUUUAAAAUAUUUAUAAAUUAAGUUUAUUGUUAAAGUAUGUGCAAUUAUAUGCAAUUAUGUGUUCGAAUUAAAUGAUUUUUAUGGAAAUAUCUUUUAUUAUGAUAUAUGUGGG
rnacentral:lncRNA from 1 species